rnacentral:misc_RNA from 1 species
AACGGGGGGGACAAGCGUCAUUCAUCAGGACUGGGCGUAAAGGGAUCUGUAGACGGCCUUGAGUAAGUUUGGAGUUAAAACCAUUUGGCUCAACCAUUUGGUAUUUCCUUAUAUACUCUUGUUUGCUUUGAGUUUUUGAGAGGUUAGAGGUACUCUGAAGGGAAAGGUAAAAUUUGUCGAACUUUAUGGGGACCAUCAUUAGGCGAAAGCAUCUUUCCAUCAAAAACUGACGUUGAGGGAUGAAAGUGUGGGGAGCAAAUAGG